rnacentral:rRNA from 1 species
GUUGCCAGCAAGUGAUGUUGGGGACGUCAGAUGGAACUGCCGGUGACAAACCGGAGGAAGUGGGGACGACGUCAAGUCAUCAUGGCCCUUAUGUCCUGGGCUACACACGUGCUACAAUGGCCGGUACAGAGCGCAGCUAGGCCGCGAGGCGGAGCGAAUCGCGAAAAGCCGGUCUCAGUACGGAUUGGAGUCUGAAACCCGACUCCAUGAAGUUGGAAUCGCUAGUAAUCGCGCAUCAGCAUGGCGCGGUGAAUACGUUCCCGGGCCUU